AAGAGCUCACAGCGUGGAUGACUUCACUUGGCCUGGACCUGAAUAAUCUGACAUCUUCUGACCAAUUUGACGGGGUGGACAUGCUGGUGCGCCUAUCACUAGACAUCGGCAUCCCAGUCUUUAUUUCCUUAUUGUUGGAUAACGACACCCUGGUAAACAACAGGCGUUUAGUCCAUUUGGCGAUAAACAACGCGGACAUGAAUUGGCUUGUCAUGCGAGAAACGAUUUUGCAAACAUCACCGCAGGAGAAUAAACGCUUCCACUUGAUGAUGCUGCAAAAGUACGGCGUUGACAGCAGCCACAUCCAAAGGCUUUCCGACGAAAUCAACGGCUACGAGAAUGAGCGUAAGAAUAAAUUCGAUUCUUCCUUUA